AUCACUUCUUGGCCUUUUGGCUAAGAUCAAGUGUAAAAGAUAUUUUCAAAUUUAAAACCGUUUUUAGACUAAUGUGAGGUUUUUGCUGGCAAAUUUUUUAAACCUUCUCAGAUCACAGUGAGACACAAAAGUUUACUUUUU
rnacentral:snRNA from 1 species